GAUGAACGCUGGCGGCGUGCCUAAUACAUGCAAGUAGAACGCUGAAGGAGGAGCUUGCUCUUCUGGAUGAGUUGCGAACGGGUGAGUAACGCGUAGGUAACCUGCCUGGUAGCGGGGGAUAACUAUUGGAAACGAUAGCUAAUACCGCAUAACAGUAGAUAUUGCAUGAUAUCUGCUUGAAAGGGGCAAUUGCUCCACUACCAGAUGGACCUGCGUUGUAUUAGCUAGUUGGUGAGGUAACGGCUCACCAAGGCGACGAUACAUAGCCGACCUGAGAGGGUGAUCGGCCACACUGGGACUGAGACACGGCCCAGACUCCUACGGGAGGCAGCAGUAGGGAAUCUUCGGCAAUGGACGGAAGUCUGACCGAGCAACGCCGCGUGAGUGAAGAAGGUUUUCGGAUCGUAAAGCUCUGUUGUAAGAGAAGAACGAGUGUGAGAGUGGAAAGUUCACACUAUGACGGAACUACCAGAAAGGACG
rnacentral:rRNA from 1 species